rnacentral:rRNA from 1 species
GUGCACGCUGGCGGUAGGCCUAACACAUGCAAGUCGAACGGCAGCACAGUAAGAGCUUGCUCUUACGGGUGGCGAGUGGCGGACGGGUGAGGAAUACAUCGGAAUCUACUUUUUCGUGGGGGAUAACGUAGGGAAACUUACGCUAAUACCGCAUACGACCUACGGGUGAAAGCAGGGGAUCUUCGGACCUCGCGCGAAUGAAUGAGCCGAUGUCGGAUUAGCUAGUUGGCGGGGUAAAGGCCCACCAAGGCGACGAUCCGUAGCUGGUCUGAGAGGAUGAUCAGCCACACUGGAACUGAGACACGGUCCAGACUCCUACGGGAGGCAGCAGUGGGGAAUAUUGGACAAUGGGCGCAAGCCUGAUCCAGCCAUACCGCGUGGGUGAAGAAGGCCUUCGGGUUGUAAAGCCCUUUUGUUGGGAAAGAAAAGCAGCAGGUUAAUACCCCGCUGUUCUGACGGUACCCAAAGGAUGAGCACCGGCUAACUUCGUG